ACAGAGGGUGCAAGCGUUAAUCGGAAUUACUGGGCGUAAAGCGCGCGUAGGUGGCAAAGUAAGAUGGGUGUGAAAUCCCCGGGCUCAACCUGGGAACUGCAUCCAUAACUGCUUCGCUAGAGUACGGUAGAGGGUAGUGGAAUUUCCUGUGUAGCGGUGAAAUGCGUAGAUAUAGGAAGGAACACCAGUGGCGAAGGCGACUACCUGGACUGAUACUGACACUGAGGUGCGAAAGCGUGGGGAGCAAACAGG
rnacentral:rRNA from 1 species